rnacentral:rRNA from 1 species
UACGGAGGGUGCAAGCGUUGCUCGGAAUUACUGGGCGUAAAGGGCGUGUAGGCGGUUUCGUAUGUCUGGCGUGAAAGCCCCGGGCUCACCUCGGGAAGUGCGUCGGAAACUGCGAGACUAGAGUCCCGGAGAGGGAGGUGGAAUUCCAGGUGUAGCGGUGAAAUGCGUAGAGAUGUGGAGGAACACCGAUGGCGAAGGCAGCCCCCUGGGUCAAGAUUGACGCUCAUGCACGAAAGCGUGGGGAGCAAACAGG